CUCCUCAGAGGGUGGUGAUGAUUCAUUGCACGUUGUUGCCAAUAGAUGGACAGUUCUCGCGACAUCAGUAUUAGUAAUUUAAUUUAUUACUGUUGUGUGGAUCGGAAAUCCUCGCAUAAAUCAAGGAAGUUCAGCAGUCGUGUGACGUUUUGAAGGAGUGGCGGGUGUUAGUGAUGGCAGCUUAAAAGGCUUGGCUCAACCGCGCAGACGACAAUAUUUAAAGGCAUAGGCCUUUGUCCUCAAUUGGCCUUUCACUCUCUUCAUCAGUGCUCUCUCUUAAGAGUAUUCAAUGCUGAAGCUGCACUUGAUUAGAGGGAAGUUGAAACAGAGAUGGGAUCCUGGGUCAACCAAUAUACCUCUUGUCCCAAAUUCCGCGUACUAUCCUGUUCAACUGAUGAGACGAUGUUCACUUCAUCUUUGUAAUCCUGACCUUAGCUACAGCAUUGUUCCAAGUGACAGCGAUGUGGUUCCAAGCAUUUGUGUCAAUACUAAACAGUCAAUUACAAGCAGGAAAAGUGAUUAGUUAUCCAUUAUGUUUCAAAAACUCAUGAUUAAUUCAUAAGCCUUAAAGAAAUUCAAGAUGUAUCAGCACAACUAGAAUCGAUUUGAAGCGAAAGGAUUUGGAGGUUUUGGAAAAAAAGCUUCAAUCGCCAUUUUGAUAAAAUAAUGUUUCAGGUUAAUGAAACAAAGUAAAAACCAGCAUUGAAGAAACCAGUGGAUUAAGAACCAUCAGGCUGAAUUUUAGCCAAUAAAGCAAGCAAUAUCCGAGAACCACCACUUCAGCCCGACAAACAAGACAAGUUCUUAUGUGAAGCUUUAACCAACAUGGAACAUGUCACCAAAAGCUCAUUGAGAAUAUCGUCAAUCUUUGAUAUGAAUAAAAGACUUUCCAGUGUCAAUAGCUAACUUACUAAUAAAAACCAAUUACGUUUUUA